rnacentral:rRNA from 1 species
GAUGAACGCUAGCUACAGGCUUAACACAUGCAAGUCGCGGGGCAGCAUGGGGGUUGCUUGCAAUCCCCGAUGGCGACCGGCGCACGGGUGAGUAACGCGUAUCCAACCUGCCCUUCACCACGGGAUAACCCGGCGAAAGUCGGACUAAUACCGUAUGUUGUCCAUUGACGGCAUCCGAUUUGGACGAACGGUUUGGCGGUGAAGGAUGGGGAUGCGUCCGAUUAGCUGGACGGCGGGGUGACGGCCCACCGUGGCGACGAUCGGUAGGGGUUCUGAGAGGAAGGUCCCCCACACUGGACAUGAGACACGGUCCAGACUCCUACGGGAGGCAGCAGUGAGGAAUAUUGAUCAAUGGGCGUAAGCCUGAACCAGCCAAGUAGCGUGCAGGAUGACGGCCCUAUGGGCUGUAAACUGCUUUUAUGCGGGGAUAAAGUGGCCCACGUGUGGGUUUUUGCAGGUACCGCAUGAAUAAGGACCGGCUAAGUCCGUG